rnacentral:pre_miRNA from 1 species
ACUACCAAGGAAUCUUGUUAAAAUGCAGAAUCUUAUUCAGAAGCACUGGAACAUGGCUCAGGAGUCUGUGUUUUUAAUAAGUUUCCAGGUGAUGCUAA